rnacentral:rRNA from 1 species
AUGUUCUCGUCGCAGUCCAGGGCGCGCGUCAACAACAUCAGGGUCGCGCUCUCCACGGCGCAGAAGGGGACACAGUCGGUGGCUUCCUACUUCGCCCACAUGAGGUCCCUUGCAGAUGAGCUCGCAGCUGCUGGCAAGCCCAUCGAUGAUGAUGACCCCAUCACCUCCGGCCUCGACAUGGAGUACCAACCUCUUGUCUCCGCCAACGAUGCUCGCACCAAGCCCAUCAGCAUCGACGACCUCUACACCCAGAUGAGUGACUUCAAUCAGCGUCUCGCCCUCUACAGCACAUUAGGAUCCGGUGGAGGCUUCAAAUCCUCUGCCAACGCGGCCUCUCGCGGCCGCGGUAGCGGCAGACGCGGCGGCGACAGCUCAUCCCGCUACCGUGGGCCGCAGCACACCAAGGGCAAGUCUUCGGGUGGCGACGGCAACCCUCCUCCACGCAGCGGCAACGGCGGCGGCGGUCGGCCCUACAACAACAGCAACAAGGGUCACCGUGGAGGCCGCCCACGCGGUGCUCCUGACGUCCCGCGCUGCCAAAUCUGUGGCAAGCCAGGCCAGACCGUGCGGGACUGCUGGUACCGCUACGAGGAAGAUGAAGAAUCUUCCCAAGAUGAGAAGGUUGCGGGUGCAGCAGACGGCUCCUAUGGCGUCGACAUGAACUGGUACGUGAACAGCGGCGUGACAGAUCACAUCACAGGGGAGUUGGAGAAGGUGACCAUGCGCGAGAAGUAUCGCGGGCAAGACCACGUCCAUACCGCCAAUGGAGAAGCAGCAGCGCCAUCGAGGCGGAUCCGCCUCAGGAUCGGGGUGCAUCAACCGCGGGCUCCGCGCGUGACGGGACAGAUGAAGCUGCAUCGAGCCCCGCACCACGCCAUGACAGCAGCGGCUCCGCGCCACGCCAAGCCAGCAGCGCCCCAGCCAAUCACGGCGCUCCUGCGUGGUUGGACCAUGCGCCCAGUCAGUUCAGCGCCAAACCACAUCACUACACGCGGCGCGCGCCUCGGGAGGAUCCGUGUGUGA